ensembl:lncRNA
GAUCUGAGUGGUACCUAGAGAGAGGAAGUGACUUUCCCCAGGUCCCAGGGUGAUUUGGGACUAGGAUCAAGAUCUUCUAGACUAGCUUACAUGCUUGUUCUCAGUCGCUUCAGUCAUGUCUGACUCUUUGUGACCCUAUGGACUAUAGCAGGCCAGACUCCUCUAUCCACGGAAUUCUUCAGGCAAGAAUACUGGAGUGGAUUGCUAUGCCCUCCCCUCCAGGGGAUCUUCUUGACCCAGGGAUCAAACCCAUGUCUCCUGUGUCUCCUGCAUUGCAGGCCAAUUCUUUACUGCUGAGCCAUCAGGACUUAAAGGUGUGAAGUGGGGUGUUCACAGGAAACCAACAGAGAAUACGGUGGGCUGACCACUGAAAGUUGUCCUUCGUUUAGGAUAAUAAGGCUCCAUCUAACUGGUGCUCCUAUCAAGAAAAAGAAGAGAGAAGCCCUAACCAGAGACAAAUGUGUGACUGCACUUCUGGCGGGGAUGACCACCUCUGGAGGGAGGAGCCUGCCCUUGAGUUGGAGCACAGCCCAACACACCCAGCCCACACAUAAGAAAAGGACACCCCCUCCCGGAGGAGGAGUGCUGUGGCACUGAGCACCCUCUCACCCUCCAGAGACAGCUGAGGGGGCGGCUGGAGUUUGGGAAGAGUUGGCAAAGUGAUGAUCAGGCCGGGCGAGGGGCGGAGGCAGUUAAUAGUGAGGAGGACUGGGGUUGGGGGAAGGUAAACUGAGCACCCAAAUCCUGUU